GAUGAACGCUGGCGGCGUGCCUAAUACAUGCGAGUCGAGCGAACAGACGAGAAGCUUGCUCCUCUGACGUUAGCGGCGGACGGGUGAGUAACACGUGGAUAACCUACCUAUAAGACUGGGAUAACUUCGGGAAACCGGAGCUAAUACCGGAUAAUAUAUUGAACCGCAUGGUUCAAUAGUGAAAGACGGUUUUGCUGUCACUUAUAGAUGGAUCCGCGCCGCAUUAGCUAGUUGGUAAGGUAACGGCUUACCAAGGCAACGAUGCGUAGCCGACCUGAGAGGGUGAUCGGCCACACUGGAACUGAGACACGGUCCAGACUCCUACGGGAGGCAGCAGUAGGGAAUCUUCCGCAAUGGGCGAAAGCCUGACGGAGCAACGCCGCGUGAGUGAUGAAGGUCUUCGGAUCGUAAAACUCUGUUAUUAGGGAAGAACAAAUGUGUAAGUAACUAUGCACGUCUUGACGGUACCUAAUCAGAAAGCCACGGCUAACUACGUG
rnacentral:rRNA from 1 species